GUAGGGAAUAUUGGGCAAUGGAGGCAACUCUGACCCAGCCAUGCCGCGUGCAGGAUGACGGCCCUCUGGGUUGUAAACUGCUUUUAUACGGGAAGAAAAAAUACUACGUGUAGUAUACUGACGGUACCGUAAGAAUAAGGAUCGGCUAACUCCGUGCCAGCAGCCGCGGUAAUACGGAGGAUCCAAGCGUUGUCCGGAUUUAUUGGGUUUAAAGGGUGCGUAGGCGGAUCUUUAAGUCAGUGGUGAAAGCCUGCAGCUUAACUGUAGAAUUGCCAUUGAAACUGAAGAUCUUGAAUGUGGUUAAAGUAGGCGGAAUGUAUCAUGUAGCGGUGAAAUGCUUAGAUAUGAUACAGAACACCGAUAGCGAAGGCAGCUUGCUGAACCAUUAUUGACGCUGAGGCACGAAAGCGUGGGGAGCGAACAGGAUUAGAUACCCUAGUAGUCC
rnacentral:rRNA from 1 species